GGAGCCGUGCCUGAGUGUUCAAGGACCAUUUUGAUAGAAUGAUAUACGGAGGUUAAACCCCUCCCGUCUCCU
rnacentral:tRNA from 1 species